rnacentral:rRNA from 1 species
GACGAACGCUGGCGGCGUGCCUAACACAUGCAAGUCGAACGGAAAGGCCCUGCUUUUGUGGGGUGCUCAAGUGGCGAACGGGUGAGUAACACGUGAGUAACCUGCCCUUGACUUUGGGAUAACUUCAGGAAACUGGGGUUAAUACCGGAUAGGAGCUCCUGCUGCAUGGGGGGGAUGGAAAGUUUCGGCGGUUGGGGAUGGACUCGCGGCUUAUCAGCUUGUUGGUGGGGUAGUGGCUUACCAGGGCUUUGAAGGGUAGCCGGCCUGAGAGGGUGACCGGCCACAUUGGGACUGAGAUACGGCCCAGACUCCUACGGGAGGCAGCGGUGGGGAUUAUUGCACAAUGGGCGGAAGCCUGAUGCAGCGACGCCGCGUGCGGGAUGACGGCCUUCGGGUUGUAAACCGCUUUCGCCUGUGACGAAGCGUGAGUGACGGUAAUGGGUAAAGAAGCACCGGCUAACUACGUG